UACGAAGGGGGGCUAGCGUUGUUCGGAAUCACUGGGCGUAAAGGGCGCGUAGGCGGCUUUGUCAGUCGGGGGUGAAAGCCUGUGGCUCAACCACAGAAUGGCCUUCGAUACUGCGAGGCUUGAGACCGGGAGAGGUGAGUGGAACUGCGAGUGGAGAGGGUGAAAUUCGUAGAUAUUCGCAAGAACACCAGUGGCGAAGGCGGCUCACUGGUCCGGAUCUGACGCUGAGGCGCGAAAGCGUGGGGAGCAA
rnacentral:rRNA from 1 species